GUUCGAUUCUGGCUCAGAUUGAACGCUGGCGGGAUGCUUUACACAUGCAAGUCGAACGGCAGCACGGACUUCGGUCUGGUGGCGAGUGGCGAACGGGUGAGUAAUGUAUCGGAACGUGCCUAGUAGCGGGGGAUAACUACGCGAAAGCGUAGCUAAUACCGCAUACGCCCUUCGAAGCGGGGACCUUCGGGCCUCGCAUAUGCGACGGCCGAUAUCGGAUUGGCUAGUUGGUGGGUAACGGCUCGCAAGGCGACGAUCCGUAGCUGGUUUGAGAGGACGACCAGCCACACUGGGACUGAAGACCUGGCCAGACUCCUGCAGGAGGCAGCAGUGGGGAAUUUUGGACAAUGGGGGAAACCUGCAGUCCAGCCAUCCCGCGUGUGCGAUGAAGGCCUUCGGGUUGUAAAGCACUUUUGGCAGGAAAAAAAGAAACGGCACGGGAUAAUACCCCGUGCAACUGACGGUACCUGCAGAAUAAGCACCAGCUAGCUACGUGCCAGCAGCCGCGGUAAUACGUAGGGUGCAAGCGUUAAUCGGAAUUACUGGGCGUAAAGCGUGCGCAGGCGGUUCGAGAGAAGAUGCUCUUGAAAUCCCAGAGCUUAACGGAACUGCAUUUUUAACUGCCGAAAUGAAGUGCUGUCGAAGGUGCAGAAUUCCGCGUGCCUUGGUGAAAUGAGCCGUGUGCGGAAGGCCACCGAUGGCGAAGGCAACUAUGGGAUAACACUGGCGCUCGUGCGAAAGCAUUAGGGAGCAAACGGGGAUUGGAUACCCUGGUAGUCCACGCCCUAAACGAUGUCAACUAGCUGUUAGGGCCUUCGGGGCAUGGUGACGCAACUAACGUGAAGUUGACCGCCUGGGAGUACGGUCGCAAGAUUAAAACUCAAAGAAAUUGACGGGGACUACCUGGUGGAUGAUGUGGAUUAAUUCGAUGCAACGCGAAAAACCUUACCUACCCUUGACAUGUCUGGAAUCCCGAAAGAUUUGGAGCUGCUCAUAGAAGAACCGGAACACGGAGUGCUGCAUGGCUGUCGUAAGCUCGUGUCGUGAGAUGUUGGGUUAAGUCCGCAACAGGCGCAACCACUUAUCAUUAGUUGCUACGAAGGGCACUCUAAUGGGGCUACCCGGUGACAAACCGGAGGAAGGUGGGGAUGACGUCAAGUCCUCAUGGCCCUUAUGGUGAGACCACACGUCAUACAAUGGUCGGGACAGAGGGUCGCCAACCCGCGAGGGGAGCCAGUCCCAGAAACCCGAUCGUAGUCCGGAUCGCAGUCUGCAACUCGACUGCGUGAAGUCGGAAUCGCUGAUAAUCGCGGAUCGGCAUGUCGCGGUGAAUACGUUCCGGUCUUGUACACACCGCCGUCACACCAUGGGAGUGGGUUUUACCAGAAGUAGUUAGCCUAACCGUAAGGAGGGCGAUUACCACGGUAAGGAUUGUGACUGGUGAAGUCGUAACUAAGGUAGCUCUGUUAC
rnacentral:rRNA from 1 species